UGGGGUUUCUUAGCGGCAUUU
rnacentral:miRNA from 1 species